GCCCUGCACUUGUGUCACGCGGCCUUCACGUGCCGAUUUGGUUUUGCAACCUCCCGGUGCGACAAACUGAUACAUCCAGAAUCGCAACUCAUUACUAAUCAGUGGCCACACGUAUAUACAUGCAAAAUUAAGCUGCGGCACGUCUAACGCUAGCAGAUUUAUCGAUCGAACAAGAUGUCGACUGACCGACUGAUCUGAUGGACUAGACACCGUCGUUUUCGUAUAGUUCCUCCCCUGUUCAUGCCGUCGUCGUCCACCGGCGACGAGAGCACGGUAAGCUGAUGAUCCGCUGACAGCAACUCGGUGCACCUGAUCGCCGGACACGGGCGCCAUCGCGGCCGCUGUUUGAGAGCCCUGACGCGCAGCUCUCACGGCACCGCCGCGCGCACGGCGUGGCACGGCGCGGCCACGAGGAAAUCACAUGAGAGCGCCUCGGCCCCUCUGGCCU
rnacentral:lncRNA from 1 species